rnacentral:rRNA from 1 species
GACGAACGCUGGCGGCGCGCCUAACACAUGCAAGUCGAACGAGAGAUGAGGAGCUUGCUUCCUCAAUCGAGUGGCGAACGGGUGAGUAACGCGUGAGGAACCUGCCUCAAAGAGGGGGACAACAGUUGGAAACGACUGCUAAUACCGCAUAAGCCCACAGCUCGGCAUCGAGCAGAGGGAAAAGGAGCAAUCCGCUUUGAGAUGGCCUCGCGUCCGAUUAGCUAGUUGGUGAGGUAACGGCCCACCAAGGCGACGAUCGGUAGCCGGACUGAGAGGUUGAACGGCCACAUUGGGACUGAGACACGGCCCAGACUCCUACGGGAGGCAGCAGUGGGGAAUAUUGCACAAUGGGGGAAACCCUGAUGCAGCGACGCCGCGUGGAGGAAGAAGGUCUUCGGAUUGUAAACUCCUGUUGUUGAGGAAGAUAAUGACGGUACUCAACAAGGAAGUGACGGCUA